rnacentral:rRNA from 1 species
UACGGAGGGUGCAAGCGUUGUCCGGAUUUAUUGGGUUUAAAGGGUGCGUAGGCGGCUAUUUAAGUCAGUGGUGAAAGACUCCGGCUCAACCGGGGCAGUGCCAUUGAUACUGGAUAGCUUGAGUAUUGGAGGGGUACAUGGAAUUGAUGGUGUAGCGGUGAAAUGCAUAGAUACCAUCAGGAACACCGAUAGCGAAGGCAUUGUACUGGCCAAUAACUGACGCUGAUGCACGAAAGCAUGGGGAGCGAACAGG